GAAGAUCUCUGUUGUUGUAUCUUCUCAGUAAGCCAAAAUUUGCACAAAUCACAUAUAAAGGUAAAAAGUGGGAACAGAAAAGUAAAUCAAAAGGUUUACAUAGGAAUUCGCCUCCGAUGCAUGAAUUCUUCCUUAAAGCAGUGAAAGAAGCAAUGCGGUCCUUCAUUUGAAAUAUUGUUGAGGAAUUUGGUUCUGCUACUCGAAAUGAAUAAAAGUUCCAAGUUUUGUUCGAUGGUGAUUCUUAGGAAAGCUUAUCAGCGAAGUGUUUAACACAAUGAUUCUGCAAUGGCAUUUGAGUCUUGAACUCUUGUUCUAUCUAUCAAUUUUCGACUGACUUAAGUUAACUGCUGCCGUUCUAUUGUUGAAAUCAUAUGAGAGAUUCAAUACAAUAGAGCAUUGGGCGCUUGGUAGCACCCCAGAGCAAGUGGUCAGGGUGAAUACAUGUACAGAGUAUAGAGUAUGGACCUGGAAUCAUUUUGCUCGGACGGGUAGAAGCCUUAUACAUAUGGUUAUAGCACGAAAUUAGCUGAAGUGGACCAAAGUGUACUUUUUGUGUGAGUUGUUCCGUAGGGAAAGCGGUGUUCUCCUCGACGACAACAUCAACAGGUAGUUUUUAC